CCGACGUUAUGUUUAACGCAUAGGAAAGGCAGCGGAAGUCAAUGAAGUUUCUUCCGACACCAAUUUGGUGCUGAUCGCGCGAUACUUCCCGCAAUCCAACCUGUCGCCCUUUUUGUAGAUGGGACACACGAUACCUUCCUCCUCCCAAAUCUUGGUAAUGACCCAGUGUAGUGCUCUCACCAGUGCUUCUCCACCGUAUUUUAGAAGCUCGCAUAAUAUGCACACUCAUUAAAUUUUAAUAAACUUUACUUUCAUUUCUAAAGGCAAUACAUAUAAACAUUUUCGCCAUGACAAGGUGGCACAAUCUUUGUUUUCAAACUGAGACUUCUUUCUUGUCCAAUUCCAGGGUUUCCUCUAUUUAAGAAAAUUCCAUGUGAACUCACAUCAUAUGUUGCAUUUGACGAAUGCUUGCAUGAAAACAUAAAAUUUCCCCCGAGGUUGAAAGCAACUGUUUAAAACAAGUGGUUAAUCCGGUCGAACUAUCAGAUCAAAAAUGCAAGAAGCGUAAAGCGUAGUCUUUAAAGUUUCUAAACUAACUUGUGGAAACGUAAUUACAUUCACUGGAUUGCUAGAAACAUUUUUUUUAAUUACCUAUAUGUUCAAAACUUAGUGUUGAAAUGUCUGCGCAGAAUUAGGACCACAAUUUAAUACCGGUUCCUAAUUCUGCGCACCUAAGAAGAACAAGAAGUUUAAGAAAAGAAGAAGAAAACCCAAUUGUUUUUUGAGGAUUCUGAUUCCUCGAAGACAGCAGUACAGGAUCCUCAUGGAAAAGUAGACAUUAUCUUUAUUACUUAUGUCGCAAAAUGAUCCAGGACAAUGUUUUAGCAACUUCGCUAAGGGACACAGAGCUAAUAUUGCACUAGCGUCCAUAAUUUUGUGGUAUGUUCGAGAAAGUGCGCCGAAUUAGGGACUGCGCAGAAUUAGGGUUGGUCACGUUAUUUCAAAAAACUUACAUUCUCGUACACAAUUCUUGCCAUAGUAACAAACUCCCCAUGUUUUCGCAAUCUAUUCUACUUUACAACUAAUCAAUUGUACCGUUCUGCCUGCAAAUGCAAUUGUUGCAGUGUUGCCAGUUUAAUCGCAAACUCUUCGCAACACGUAGCAUGAAAUCGAACAGGGCCCCAGGGGUCGAUCGCAUGUCAGCUGAGAUGCUCAAAGCUGACCUCGUAGUAUCCACACAACUACUGCAUCAAUUAUUCUGCAACAUAUCAGGCCAAACAUGUCUAAAGGUCCUAUCUGCAGAAGAGAGGCUCUCUUUGGUUUCCCUCUCUUUCGUUAAUAUCUCAGCUGUUUAUUUGUAUUAUCAUUGUCUCCUUGCAUUGACCGAUGGUCAAAACAAUCGUCUUUUGAUUUGUACUGCAAAAAUAGUUGAAAAGUGUACCAUUACAUUGCAAUAAUUGAAAGAGAAAGUGAACAAAGAGAGCCUCUCAAAUGCAGAUAGGACCUAUUGAAAUGUUUGGCCUGAUAUAGGAAACCGCGACAUUUCCGGCCGACUGGAUGCAAGGCGUCUUAGUAAAGGUACCCAAAAAGGGUGACCUGACUGUAUGCGAUGAUUGGCGGGGCAUCGUGUUACUGUGUAUCGUUCUCAAAGUCCUCUGCUAAGUGAUCCUCAAUCGGAUACAGGAGAAGAUUGCGCAACCCUCCGACGGCAGCAAGCAGGAUUCCGUGUCAGACGAUCCUGUGUGAACCGUAUUGUCACGCUCCGUAUCAUUCUGAAGCAAAUCAAUGAAGUCAAAGAAUCUCUCUACCUGGUGUUCAUUGAUUACGAAAAAGCUUUCGACCGUCUCAAUCACGGAAGCAUGUGGGAAGCCCUCAGGCGCAAGGGUCUCCCUGAGAAAAUCAGCGGCCUCAUUGAAGCACAGUACAGGGCAUUUUCGUGCAGAGCACUGCACAACGGUGUUUUGUCCGAUCACAUCCGGGUCGUUGCUGCAGUGAGGCAAGGAUGUAUACUAACACCGCUACCGUUCCUCAUCGACGAGAUCCUGGUAGGUGCGAUUGACCGUGAACCAAAUCGUGGAUUGCUGUGGCAGCCCAUUACCAUGGAGCACCUAAAUGACUUCGAACUGACUGAUGACGUUGCUCUCCUAGCUCAACAGCGCUCUGAUAUACAGAGCAAGCUCAAUGAUCUUCAGCUACAGGUCUUACCAUCAACGUCAGCAAGACCAAAUCGUUGAAUGUAAACACGGUCAACCCUUUCAGCUUUACGGUAGCUGGGUAAUCAGUGGAGAAUGUUGAAAGCUCCAAUAUCUUGAUAGCCAAAUCAGAGCCGUAGCGUGGUCCCAUGGCGCCCUUGGCAAGCAUACAGAUUAACGCCCCACGCCAGUGGUGUUGUGAUGACUCCUGAAUCUGCAUGUCAAACUGAGCCGAAAUCCAAAUUUUCAUGAAUUUUGGUGCCCGGGAACCUAUUUGAAAAUCAAUUCUGGCGUUCGAUUUGAAUAGGUCGAAUCUGCAUAGGAAACACAGCAAACAUACGACGAUAUUCAAAUCGAACGCCAGAAUUUGAAGUUUGAAUGGGAGCGAUUUGUUCAAUCACCCCUUGUCGCAGUUUGUACUGGACGGAGCUGUCAAACAGUUGCCCAGCUGUCAAAAUGUGAUUUCAAAAAAUCUUUUUGAAAUUGGUUUUAGAUACCAACAGUUAUGUAAUUCUUGAGGAGUUUGAAACGACCUUUUCAAUGGUGAAUUAAUCUAUAUUGUUUAUUAAAAUUUAAAUUUGCUUUACCAAAUAAAAUGGCUUCCUCUGAAGUUUAAUCUAAAUGUUUCCCAGAAAAAGUGAAUUUUCAGUAAUUAUUAGACGCACCAUAGACAUGGAAGAAUGCCGGGAAAAAUUCCUGUAGAACUCUCUUUAUAAGUUUUUUGUUGGAAUCUCCAGAAAAAUUCCUGCUGGAAUCACUGAAUGAACUUCUGAAACUCUGGAGGAGUUCCUGCAGGAAUAUUCGGAGGAAUACCUGAUGAACGGAAACCUUUCCGCAAGAUUCCUGGAAAUCCUAAAACAGUCUGUGAAGAAUUGCCUGUAAGAAUUUGUGGAGACCCACUGGAAAUAUUUUUGAAAGAAUUUUUGAAGUAAUUCCUGAUAAAAAAAAACUUAAGGAUUCUUUGGGGAAUAUUCUGAAAAUCCCCACAAGGUUUUACGAAGAAAUACCUGGAGGAAUUUCUGAAGAAAUCUAUGCAAGCCUUAAAAAAAACUUUUGGAGAAAUUUUAGAUGAAAUCAAUGGCGGAUUUUCUAACGGAAUAUCAGGGACAAUUUAUGAAAAAAAAGUCCAAGUUCAUGAUUUUCUGGAAGAGUUUAUGGGAAAACUCAUGGUUUUAUAGAGGAACUCCAGCAGAAAUUUAUGGUCGCAAAUUUGAAAAAAUAUCUUAAAAAUUUAAUCAUGAUUUCCGCCGAGCACGGUACGAAAAUCUUUCAUCAAAAACUCAUCCAAAAGUUCUGCAAUAUUAUUUCUUAUACUGGUGUAAAUAAGUACGGAUAAUGUAUUAGAAAUAUCUGAAUUUAUUUUAUUAAUUUUCCUCAUUUGUCUAAAAAAACUUCAUGAAUCCAACAAACUCACUUAGAACUUCUUUAGAUUUUUCUCGAAAUUUCACUUAUUUUUUAGAAAUUUUGUAUUAACGAUAUUUUUUAAAGCUCCAUACAACUUUUGAAUAUUUGUACAGAUUUUCUUGCUAUACUCUACCUGAUACUUCUAGCAUUGAUUGAAUUUAUUUUGUAUCGUAAAAUAAGAUUACAGAAUGUCUAGCAGAUUAUGUUUCGAAAUUUUUCUAAAAUUAUUUCAAAAACUAGGAACUGCAGCAUGAAUUCCGUAUGAAGGGCUUUUAGAAGAUUGAUUACAUCUUCGUUACAUACGUUCUCAUCUUGAUACAGUUGAAAUUAUUCAAAUGCUUUUCAACAUUUUCAGAAAUCUGUCUAGAAUUUUCUAAUGUUUUGUGGCUUCUCAGUCUUGACAAAAUCAAAACACUGUUAUGUUAUUUUGUCUAACAUAACAGGAUUUUGAUUUUGUCAAGACUGGGAAGCCACAAAACAUUAGUUUCCAAAUACAGUCCAACACACCAACGAUAUAGAAUUUUCUAGUCAACCAGUAUAAAAGAGAAGAUCUUUUCUGUUUUAUUGUGUGUUUAUCUACUUAAGUCUCAAACAAUUUGCAAUUAUUUUGGUACGUCUUUGAUAAACUCGUCACUAGAUUCUUUCCAUAUUCUUACCGAAAUUUUGGAUGGUUUCUAUAUUGCCGACUUUUUUGGAUCUAUGAAGGAUUUCUUACGCAAAAAAUCAGCUUUUUUCGGAGUUUACCCCACAUAUCAUCAUCAAACAAUUCAACUUGCAUAUAAUUAUAUCUGGUACGCAUCAUUGAUGACAUUCCGGGAUUGUUAUUAUCAAACAAAGUUUUCUCCAGAAAUUUAAUAAAAUCAUCAGGGGUCUGUACAACAAAUUUCCGGACAUCUCUCUCAAGACUGAAUCCAUAAAUAAAUGGGUAAUUCUCGCUGAGACCGGCCCACUAUUUACACCUUGUCUUCAAAAAGGGUCUGGUACGUUUGGCAUAAGGCCGUUUGGCAUAAUGCCAUUUGGCAUAAGGACGUUUGGCAUAAAGGACAUUUGGCAUAAGGGACGUUUGGCAUAAAGGACGUUUGGCAUAAAGAAUAUGUGAAAUAUAUUUUCCCUCUGGAGAAAAAUUAAAGAACAGCCUUCAGUGGAAAGAAGGCAAACUUGUUAGUGGUGCAUUACAUUGGAUUUCUUAUUUUCGAAAUAACCUUUUGCUUCCAAGAAUUGGAUUUUUUUUCCGGAGGGGGAAUAUUCCUUCUUUUGUAUAUAGGCUGUUCUUUAUCGAUACAAGCAAUUUGGAUCCUGGUAAUUAUUCUUUCCAGCAAAUCAUCCUUGUCUGCAUAAUAUAACCAGAAAAAAUAAUGAAUAAUAAUAUAUUAUCCUUUUUAAAAAUAAUUUUCGUUCUUUGACGAUAAAUUUGUAGUUCAUUUUUACUGAAAUCAUUUUAUGCCAAACGUCCUUUAUGCCAAAUGUCCAUUAUGCCAAACGUCCUUUAUGCCAAAUGUCCUUUAUGCCAAGUGUCCUUUAUGCCAAACGUCCUUAUGCCAAAUGGCAUUAUGCCAAACGGCCUUAUGCCAAACGUACCAGACCCCUUCAAAAAUGUUUAAGUUGCCGAUUUUCUGAAAACCCUCGCUAAAAAGUAAGAAAAAUGCAUUUGGUUACUCAAACUGAUGGACCCCCCGUUAGUUUGAGCCACAACAAUUUUUGCAGACCCCACGAUUUUGGUCAAAUGGUGGCUCACUUAAACCGUUAUAACUCGAAAGUUUCCCCAAAAACCACCUCAAAACGAAUUGUUGUUGAAAAGAGGAAAGAUAGAGCUACUAUUUACAAUAAUAAAAAGUUGGAUCGGCCAUAUUGAUUUUGGCCGCCAUCUUGGAUUUUUAUACCAAAACAUUUUUUUCACCAUGAGGGCAACCACCGAUUUUCAAAAUUUUUGCAUCAAUUGAAAGUUGAGACAUUUAUACAUAACAUAUCAACAAAUUAGAGAUGUCUUUUUCUUCUUUCAAAAGUUAUCUACCGUUUUGUAAAUCAUGCCACAUUUGCGCACUGGGCCCGGUGCCAGCCGUUUUCUUAAAUGCAGCGUUAUUUCGCAGUAUUUACGAACACAAAUUUAAAUUCUGAGUCCACUAAUGGAAAGCUGAAGGUUUAAGCUUUUCAAAACACUAUAAAAGUUAUAAAAGCAAUGCCCGCAUCAUUGAGAAACAGUCAAAAACGGAAACGAACCUCCGAUUGGGCCAAAUUUUGCGGCACGCGCCUUUGUGUAUACAUGCAGGCGUAAACUCGGAUGCUGUUGCAUGUCAUAUAUGGAAAUAUAUGGGGAAAACGUGGCUUAAUUUACAAAACUGCGGAUAACUUUUGAUAGGAAAAAAGACAUCUCUAAUGUUUCGAUAUGUUAUGUAUACCUGUCUUAACUUUCAAUUGAUGCAAACAUUUUGAAAAUCGGUGGUUGCCAUCAUGGUGAAAAAAAUGUUAUGGUAUAAAAAUCCAAGAUGGCGGCCAAAAUCAAUAUGGCCGACCCAACUUUUUAUUAUUGUUAAAAGUAGCUCUAUCUUUCCUCUUGUCAACAACAAUUCUUUUUGAGGUGUUUUUUAGAGAAACUUUCGAGUUAUAACGGUUUAAAUGAGCCACCAUUUGACCAAAAUCGAGGGGUCUGCUGUGGCUCUAACUAACGGGGGGUUCAUCAAUUUGAGUAACCAAAUGCAUUUUUCUUACUUUUUUAGCGAGGGCUUUCAGAAAACCGGCACCUUAAACAUUUUUGAAGACAAUGUGUAAAUAGUGGGCCGGUCUCAGCGGGAGUUACCCAAAUUCAUUAGAACCCAUCAGGUGUCUCAAAAGAACGUUAUCCCCAAAGAAUGGGCCUUUUAAUUUUAAGCUUAUUUGCUCUACAAUGGACUUGUAAAGGUGACAUAAAAUAAGGCCUAACAAUAAAAUUCAGAACACUCUUACGUUAACAAAAUCUGUAGUACAAAACUCAGGUUUAAGAUCAUGCAUUGAUUUGAUCGUUAGUCAGGUUCAUGGAUUCAACAGUUUAAAGAAACAAUACAGCCAUUUUUUUUUAAAUUCCAUAACUGUAGGAACUUGUAGGGCUCAAAUACAUCGUUUUAUGAUUAUCGUGAUAAAUUUUCCCUGACCAUCAACGAAAUUCCCUGACUUUCCAGGUCCACAAAUAAAUUCCCUGACAUUCCCUGUUUUUCCAGAUUUUUCCAGGUAGUCGACACCCUGUUCACGAUCAGAAUUUUACUAUUGUCCUCUGCUGCCGGUGGAAGCAUAAUUUUCACAUGUACAUUUUUGGCAAUAUUGAGAUUUUGCAGCCCAUGACCAUGUAUCAUGGUGUAUUAUAAUAUAGGGAAAUAGAAAUCGGUAAUUUGUUCCGAAAACUGUUGAAAAAAUGCUACGCCGAUUUGUCUCAUUCUGAAAAGUGGACGCAUAAGUGUCACGUUUCAUUGGAAAUCCUAUGAAAUUUUUAUAAAUCGCUCUAAAACAAAAAUUAGUGCUCAAAUUCAAAAUUGGUUGAUGUUAGAACACGAUUCGGCAUUUAUGCUUCAUAGUUGAGACAAUUUACUUUUUCGAACUUUGGACGUGAUUUUCUCGAUUGUCGGUUUUUGCACAUGUGACAUAUAUGCGUUCACCGGCAGUCUGAGUAUGCUGAACUUUUCCUCCUUUGCUGUCCACGUAUAUUUCUAGCGAACCCUGCUGUUGGUGUUAUUCUGGUGAUCAAUGCCGGAUGCUGUUUCUCCUUCUAGUAUUCUUUUCAGCUCUAAUACGAUCUCCAUUAAAAGUUGGUCCGCAUCUAUCUUCGUUCUCUCCUUUGGUUUCCACGGGGGCUACGGGGGUCAUCCAAUCAUUCCCGAAGCAGAACCGUUUGAUAUUCUCAUAAACCUCUCAAAUUUGGUAGCCUUGUAUGGAUUUCCGUUUUGGACAACUGAAAUGAACUGACCUUCCGGUCUUUUCUAUGAGCUUCUUACGACACUAAUUUGGAAAAACGGAGAACAACAUUUCGCCCAUGUAUCGAUAAGUUGAUUAUUGAAACUUGUUAUACGUUCCCCUGGAGUAGUUUUUGGAAUCAAAAUUAACAGAAGAACAGUGUACAACUUUGUCCCAAGAAUAAGGAUUUCGGCAUUCAAGAAAGCGCCAACGAACAACCAACCGCUUUCGAUUCGAUGUAUAUAUUAUUCCUAUCGUGUAAAACAUGUAGCAAAAACACUAUUUAUAAUUACGUUUCAUAAUUCGUUCUAGUCGUCCUAGUAGAUUCAUAAUCGUUACUGAACUCGAAUUUUUCAACAAACACGAUCCGGGAAAAUUAUAUUUUGUAAGUAGCAAAGAAGCAUGUAGUAUAAAAUGUGUUCGUGGAGGUGUUUCACCAAUCAACAGUUUAAGUGAAUGAAUGUGUAACAUAAUAAAUUAAAAAAUUUAAAAGAACGAAUAGAAGCAACCAGAGUUAGACGAUCUUCACAGUUUGGCCCGGUUUUGUAAAUGUGAGUUGUAUAUAGCCAACAUUGUCUAAGGUUUAUCCUGUAUGCUACAUUACCACAUCUCCAAUCAGAUUGAAAUUGCUUAGAAGCGCACGUAGUGAUGAUAACCGUUCAUAUAGAAGUAAA